UGGAUUGGAAGCUUAUUGUAUUUCAACUCCUAAUGAGGACAAGAUGAGGUCAUGAAUCUCCCUGAUAAAUGGGCCUGAAUUCUAAAGUGACUCGAGCCUACUUUGUACACUAAUAGUGAUGCAGGCUGCCUUUAAGACCUUGUGUAUGUGGUUCCAGAAGAUCAUCUUAAGGUGUUCACUUAUAAGGACCUGGUUGUGGGAGUUACCAAAGAAAUGUAAAGGUGAGAAGUGGG